rnacentral:rRNA from 1 species
AACGAACGCUGGCGGCGUGCCUAACACAUGCAAGUCGAACGAGAAAGGGGCUUCGGCCCUGAGUAAAGUGGCGCACGGGUGAGUAACACGUGGGUAACCUGCCUCUAAGAUUGGGAUAACUCGUCGAAAGAUGAGCUAAUACCGGAUAAGACCACAGUUCCUGCGGGGAUCGGGGUCAAAGGUAGCCUAUGCUUGCAAGCUAUCACUUAGAGAUGGGCCUGCGUACCAUUAGCUAGUUGGUAGGGUAACGGCCUACCAAGGCAAAGAUGG